CUUUUUAUUUUAUUUUUGAACUUCUUGUUUCCAUUCUUUAAUAACGAGGAAAAUCUGAGUUUUCUAUAAUCAUCGAACUUCUCCAUCUUUUUAAUAUGGACUUCCUGGUUUUAUUUCUUAAUCCUUUUAUGAAAUGUUGAAGCGCUCUAUAUUUAAAAGUUGAACUUCUUGCUAUUUUAUUUUUGAACUUCUCGUUUCCAUUCUUUAAUAACGAGGAAAAUCUGAGUUUUCUAUAAUCAUCGAACUUCUCCAUCUUUUUAAUAUGGACUUCCUGGUUUUAUUUCUUAAUCUUUAUAAUUUGAAUUAUUUUUUCUUUCCGAAAUCAAAUUGCUCCCAAAUAAUAAAUGAACUUCUUUGUGGAUUGAAAGAAUUAUUUUAAAACGCAAAAAUACAAAUUUUUUUGUGUUUUUGAACAUGGAAAUACAAGGUGAACCUCUCUCGCAAGAAUUUUUGAACUUCCCGUGGCAGAGCACUUGAACUUAUUUCAACUAACCUUUUAAGCUUUUAUUUUUCUAUACUUUUAUUCUCACCUGAAAUGCAUUCCUUACAGUACUUGAACUUCUCGUUGUUUUCACUAUGAACUUCUAUCACAUUUUUGUGUAUACGCUGAAUUAAAUGUAAAUGAAUGUCGGACGUUAUUUUUUGCCAUUUUCAAACAUGUAAUUGGAGUUCGAAUGUCCCGCAAUAUAAAUUAUAAACCGUGCACGGAGGAGCACGCGAACUUCUUGCAACAAAUCUUUGUUUUUAUAUAAUUGGAACUUUUCUGUUAUUUUAAUUUCAACUUCUUAGUCAUAUUCUUAGAAAGGAAAUAUGUUAUUAAAUAAGCAUCAAACAUUUUAUUGUAAAUUGAACAUCAUAGUUUUAUUUUUCUAAGAAACGGCAAUAAUUUGAGUUUCCCGUAUACAUCGAUCUACUCCCUAUUUUAAUUUACACUUCGUCAUUUUUAUUCUUUAGUAACAAGGAAAAUUUGAGUUUUUAUUAUAAAUUUCUAACUUGUCUAUUUUUGUAAUUUGUACCUCUUGGUUUAUUUCUUUCACUGACGGCAAAAUCCUAGUUUUAUAAUAAAUAUUGAACAGACCCAUUAUUUAAAUUUGAACUUCUAGAGUUUUUUUAGAAAUGGUGAUAAUCCCAUUUUUAUGAUUUUUUGUACUGCUCUAUGUUUAAAAUUCGAACUUCUUAUUUUUUUAAUUAGAAACGGUGAAAUAUCCAUUUCAGAGUGCUCUCUUAUUUUUUUGUACUAUUGUGUUAUUUUUGUCUGAACUUCUUAUGUUCUUCCCACAAACAGAUUAGGAUUUUCCAUUUUUUAUACAUCGUACUAUUGUGUUACUUUAUUUUUGAAAUUCUUGUUUCCAUUCUGAAAUAACGAGGAAAAUCAUAGUCUAUAAUCAUCGAACUUCUCCAUCUUUUUACUUUGGACUUCUUGGUUUAUUUCUUAGUAGCAGAAAACAAAAUCUAGUCUUGUAAUAAACAUCGAACCACUUUUUGAAAAUAGUAUGCUUGUUGGCAAUAUCAAUGAACACGUAUAGAGGAGAAGCACAAUUGAUUUAAGGAAACAUUUCUGAGGAUUUUGUAAAGAGUAAACUACAUUCCCUUUUUUUAUUAGUUUUUUUGUUUGAGACCAAAGAGAACAUUCUUUUUCCUGUUAAUAUUUUGAAGUGAAUUUUAUAGACUUAAAUUUUGUUUAUGCUCUUUUUCAAUUUGAUUGUCACUUCAAGUUCUAAAAAAAUUGCAAAUCUCCCAUGUUUUCUUUUGCAUGUUUAAAAUAUUUGAACUUGCUGAGAUACACAUAACACACUUGACCUUCUCGAACACAACAUUUUGACCUUCACAAAUCGAAAUUUAAAUCGAAAUUUUUGCACAAUAGUACAAGACAAACAGAGCAACACCCCACACACACCUAGUUGGAAAAAUUAGUGGUCAAUACUCAAUAGUGGUCAAUACACACUGAUGUUCACAUGUUGUUUUCCCCUUCUUUUAGUAUACACAUUGAACGGCACAAAAAAUUUGGAAGAAUUUAUCACACCAAGAGAAGAAGGCGCGGCAAGGCUGAGAUAGACGUGUACAUCAGUACAUGUUUACAACUUUAAAAACGCACCUAGUUGGAAAAAGUAGUGGUCAAUACUCAAUAGAAUACGUGAUGCCUUCUCCCCCACACAUUCCAAUAUUAUCCUCUCACUGUUGCUUGUUGCUGCUCUCGGACUGAGAUCCGGUAACUUCACUUGAUGAAGUCACGUUGCAACUUUAGGCUCUUCAUCUCCAUCCAAAACAGAUCCAAUGGUCCAUAUCACACAAAGGCAAAAGCCCUCAGCACUUAGCAGUUUUGGACGAGUGCAGGCUGAAGAAAAAAGUUCGCGGGAAUCUGCUCCGCUCUCCCGCGCCGCGCCGACGUCUCGGACAGGGAGACGGCGCUGCUCCGCCGCAUCGGAGAGGAAGAGGAACCACACCACACCGCAACAUCUGGGAGAGAGAGCAAGGGACUCGCGCCGGCCGCCGCAUCGGAGAGGAGCCGCGCGGCCGCGCCAGCCGCCGCAUUGAAGAGGAAAAGGAGCCGCGCGGCCGCACCGUUGCUGGAGGAGAGGGAGGGGCGGGCUGCCGCCGGAGGAGUAGGAAGGCCACGCGUGCCGCCGUCGCCGUCGGACCUCUGCCAUCCCGCAUCCAGUUGAGAAUUCAGUGUCGUGCUUCACAAUUGACUAUUGUGAGAUGGCAGAAAUUGGUAAGGGAAUACCUCAAGUUGGUAUGAGAUUCAGAAAUGUGGAUGAGGCUUGGGCAUUUUGGGUUGCAUAUGGGGGUCACACAGGCUUUGAUGUGAGAAGGAGAUAUGCAAACAAAAGCAGACUUGAUGGUCAGGUUGGUUCAUGUAGAUUUGUUUGUUCCAACGAGGGUCAUCGAAGAAAAGGGCAAAGUGAUCAUGCACCAAAGCGUUUUAGAGCUGAAACAAGAACCAAUUGCCAAGCUCGUAUGUCUUUUCAAUUGGAUCGAGAGGGCCGGAAAUUAUGAAGUAACCGAGGUUGUGCUGGAACACAACCACUUGUUGCAAUUGCCACAAACUCGCCACUUGAUGGUAUCCCAAAGAAAGAUUUCAGAAAGACAAGCUUUUGAAAUUGAAACCGCCGAUGAUCCCGAAUGUCGUUUGUUGCUAGAAAAUGCACUUGAUUCUCUUUGGCCACAACUAGAGGAUAAACUCAAUGCAUCAGCUACUAGUGCUACGGAUGGAUGUUCCAUUGAUCAAGAAAAUGUUGAUCCAAAUGUGCGGCAAGCCAAUGACUUUCUUAGUUCUGCAAAACUGAAGAAAAAGGAGGUUUCAUCUAAAAAUUUAAGGAGAAAGCAAACUUGGUUUGAUAAGUUAUGCAAGGGGCGAAAGCAACCUAAAUCAGCGGCAACAACAAAAAAAGAAGCAAAGUGGCAGCAACAACAACAAAAGAAAAAAGACAGUGUGCAGCCUCAAGUGCAAGUGGAGAAUGAUGGCACAAACAAAGGAGGGAGUCCCGUAGGAGAAAGUGAGAAGCGUCAAGAAUACGAUGCAAUCGACAGCUUUACCAAGCUUUUGACAACUUCACGAGUUGACGAUGAUAUCUUCAUGAUGAUCUGAUCUAGUAUCUUCAAAGUUGCUAGGUAGUAUUUUGGACAGGGUUAACUACAGUAUUUUGGGGAUUAACCAGUCUAUUUUGGCCUAAGUGUACAAGUGAAAUGGCCUGCUUUUGUGUACUUGAAUGAUUACUCGACAUUGGCAUUUCUUGCUGUAGCAUGUGGAUGUUCUAUGAUGCAGCCUUUCAAUGUCAAAUGCCACUCUAUAAUCUGUUUCAUGAGUAUUGUCAGUCAAAAA